rnacentral:rRNA from 1 species
ACACAUGCAAGUCGAGCGGGGGAAGGUAGCUUGCUACUGGACCUAGCGGCGGACGGGUGAGUAAUGCUUAGGAAUCUGCCUAUUAGUGGGGGACAACAUCUCGAAAGGGAUGCUAAUACCGCAUACGUCCUACGGGAGAAAGCAGGGGAUCUUCGGACCUUGCGCUAAUAGAUGAGCCUAAGUCGGAUUAGCUAGUUGGUGGGGUAAAGGCCUACCAAGGCGACGAUCUGUAGCGGGUCUGAGAGGAUGAUCCGCCACACUGGGACUGAGACACGGCCCAGACUCCUACGGGGGGCAG